AGGUCCCUGAAGGCCAACUGCUCUCCCAAGGCAUUCCUUCCAGGCAAAUGGAGAGACACAGCUCCAGUAAAGAAGUCCGUUUUGGACAAGAUCGAUCCAUAGGUGGACCGGAGAGCGGCACUCCUUGGGCAUCUGUGGUUACAUUUCAGGCCUGAAGGCCUCUGGGCACACUGUUUCACAACCAUGUCUGGGGAUGCAAACUCGGCGCAGUCGGGCGGGCUUACCUCAAAGCUUGUCCACGCUACUUCCGUAGCCCCCCUCUCCGGAAGUUAGGGGACUGUUCUGGAAAAGUCUGGGAGACAUUGGGCUCCACACAGACUAAUCUCUGCGAGCCUCAGGAUCCUCAUCCAUCAAAUGGAGCAGCUCACACCUGGCCUCCACUUGCUCCCUCCAGCGUGCCCAGAUGUGAUUACCCACCUGGGCAGCAGCCGCUUCCCAGUUGUCCCCACAAGGGCCAUUUUCUCCCCAGUACAAGACGAAUGAGCUUCUGCUGUCGCGUCAGGGAGCCGCUGCAUCACCGAAAGGACCUUCGCCCUUCAGUUUCGUCCGCGUGGAAGAGACCGGUGCCUGCUAGGUGGUCACGGGAGCAUCGCGCGGAGUCCUGCGAGUGCUGUGAGUGUGG